AAAGAAGAAGAAGGAGAAGAACCACUACAACCGGAUUUUAUCUCACCGAUGCUACAAUCCUUUUUUUCUUCUUCUUCUACUUCUUCUUCUUCUUCUGUUGAUAUUUUCUCC
rnacentral:ribozyme from 12 species